rnacentral:lncRNA from 1 species
GCUACACUAGCGCAAAAUAAAAAUUUUCUACCGCGUAAACUAGAAAACUGUUGUUGUAGAUCAUGGGAUUACCACUAGACGCGCAGAUGCGGAAGUCGAUGAAGCAUAUCGGGGUAGUGGAGUCGAUCACACGUGAGCUAGCUUAGUAACAAAGAGCCCACAACAUCGGCAACUUCAUGAAGUUUAAAGAGGCAAUGGUCAGGUGACUCUUUUACCUCUAUGAUGGUUGAAAAAUUGGAC